UAAUUAAAAUAUACUACUUCACAUAUAUAUGCUUCAAAUAUGUUUUACAUAAAGUUUGACACCGUUAAGACUAGUGGCCUUGCCACAUAGAUAAAACUUAAAAUAAAAGUACAUGAAGAAAAUCAAAAGAAAGCUUAACAGAAGGACCUCCUAAGUCCAACAGGACUGACACUUAUACUGACUGUAUAUAAUAUUACGUACUAGUAACGAUGUGAUAAGCGUUUGACAAAACGCUAGCAACCUUCAGCCUUGACAUUAUCGUAAUCUGUCACUCCAUAGCCUUCCCUCCUAAAUGGUCUAGCUCGUCGCCUGAUCGUCAUAGAUCAAUCC
rnacentral:lncRNA from 1 species